rnacentral:rRNA from 1 species
CCCAGACUCCUACGGGAGGCAGCAGUGGGGAAUAUUGCACAAUGGGGGGAACCCUGAUGCAGCGACGCCGCGUGGGUGAAGGAGCACCUCGGUGCGUAAAGCCCUAUCGGCAGGGAAGAAACAGACGGUACCUGACUAAGAAGCCCCGGCUAACUACGUGCCAGCAGCCGCGGGAAUACGUAGGGGGCAAGCGUUAUCCGGAUUUAUUGGGUUUAAAGGGUGCGUAGGCGGAUUUUUAAGUCAGCGGUAAAAUGUCCGGGCUCAACCCGGGCCGGCCGUUGAAACUGGGGAUCUUGAGUGGGCGAGAAGUGUGCGGAAUGCGUGGUGUAGCGGUGAAAUGCAUAGAUAUCACGCAGAACUCCGAUUGCGAAGGCAGCAUACCGGCGCCCUACUGACGCUCAGGCACGAAAGCGUGGGUAUCGAACAGGAUUAGAUACCCCCGUA